UGUGAGGUGUAAUUCUUUCUCCACCCCCCGGCCGCGAUCAGGGAGGGAAAAGGGGACUGCCGACCCCCCACCCUUGCGCACUGCUGAGACCCCAGACUUCCUCUGGACUCCCCUUGUAUGCCUCCACCCAAACCUGGGUGGGAAAGAAGCACAAUCCUAAUUCUUGUAGUAACCCCUCAAUUCACUUCUUCCCUAAAUUAACCAUCCCUCCCUUGCCUGCUAAACCAGUUGGGACUAGAGCUAAUUAAAUGGGGUCCCCGCCCUCCUCCGCCUAAGGCCCAGGGAUCUGCGUUUUGUUGGGGGGAGGGGCCCGCGGAAUGACCAGCCAGGUUGGACUGGGGAGGGGGGUAUUCCGCAGGCCAUCCUUCCCCCUUGCAGGCUCUGACUCAUCAGUCAAGACACUUUCCUCCCUUCCCCCUUUCUCCAUCCAGUCUCGGCCUAACCCCCCCCUUUCCCCCCCAGCCUGGAAGCUGCUCUUCUUUGAGGGCCUGGAGACGGGGGAGAACUGGAAGCAGAUUCCUCCAGUGCCCCCUAUCCGUAGGGGCUGUGGCCACGUUCUAGCUUUAUCUCCUCUGGGAAGAUACCCCUCCUUUCCUGAACCAAGCUGAUCUAGUGGCCCUGUUUCUUUUAAGGAAAUAAUCUCAUACUGUUGAAUGAUGAUUAAGUAUAGACCAGACCUGGUGAAGGAGAGAACAUCUUUGGAACAAGUCUGGGAAUUAUGGUGCAAGCAAAAAUGGGAAGAGAAGUCACAGAUGCCUGGCAGAUGGACCUAAGUUAUGGGAUAUUGCAAGGAUUCCAUGAGGUGUGACAGCAAGCUGAGGACUAUAAGCCAUUCUUCAAAUGUGGGUUGUUUGAGCCUAAAAAAUAAAGCACUGAAAGGGACAUUGCUGAAGUGUUGCAGCUCCCUGGUAAAAUAACUGCAAUCCAGGUAUAUUUAUUAUCCAUUGCUGGGUAACAACUUACCCUCAAAUUUCACAUCUUAAAAUAAUAAACUUUUAUUACCUCACUUGGUUUCUGAGGGUCAGGAAUCCAGGAGUGGCUGAGCUGGUGGCUCUGGUUCAGGGUCUCCUACAAGGAUGUAGUCAAGCUGUUGUCCAGGUCUGCAGUCAUCUCAAGGCAUACUGGGGCUGGAGACUCUGCUUCCAAGUUCACUCAUGGUUGUUGGCAGGCCUCAGUUCUUCAAUGCCUGUUGGACAGAGGCUAUGUGGGAUUCUCCAUUAGACUGCUCACAAUAUGGCACAUAGCUUUCAGUAGAGUAAGAGAUGAGGGAGAGGGAGAGGGAGAGGGAGAGGGUGGAGAGAGAGAGAGAGAGAGAGAGAGAGAAUACUAACUAGUAUGUAGGCUGAAAGCCUCAGUCGUUUUGUAACCUAAACUUGGAAGUGACAUAUCAUCACUUCUGCCUGUGUUGGUCACACAGACCAACCUUGUUACCGUGUUUCACCGAAAAUAAGACCUAACCAGAAAAUAAA